UGCCGGGUCGUCUAAUGGUAGGACAAUGGACUCUGGCUCCAUUAAUCUUGGUUCGAAUCCAAGCCCGGCAGCCA
rnacentral:tRNA from 1 species